GGGCAAAGACACUCCUGGCGUUCCCCGCCUCUCGGCUUGUUUCAAACGCCAGCGCCAUCUUGGAUCACGAAGUAUAAUCACUUCCUUGAGAGUAGAGGGUGUUUCUGACACAUGUUAGUAUCUUUCAGUGCCAGAAGAAUAGGGGCUUACUGUCAGGAUCAGGAUCACUUUGGGUAGUCUCCAGGGGGUGGCAUGGCAAGAAAGAGAAGGCUGCAGAG